GCACAAGCGGUGGAUUAUGUGGAUUAAUUCGAUGCAACGCGAAAAACCUUACCUACCCUUGACAUGCUAGGAACUUGCCAGAGAUGGCUUGGUGCCCGAAAGGGAACCUAGACACAGGUGCUGCAUGGCUGUCGUCAGCUCGUGUCGUGAGAUGUUGGGUUAAGUCCCGCAACGAGCGCAACCCUUGUUACUAGUUGCCAUCAUUUGGUUGGGCACUCUAGUGAGACUGCCGGUGACAAACCGGAGGAAGGUGGGGAUGACGUCAAGUCCUCAUGGCCCUUAUGGGUAGGGCUUCACACGUCAUACAAUGGAUGGUACAAAGGGUCGCCAACCCGCGAGGGGGAGCCAAUCCCAUAAAGCCAUUCGUAGUCCGGAUCGCAGUCUGCAACUCGACUGCGUGAAGUCGGAAUCGCUAGUAAUCGUGGAUCAGAAUGUCACGGUGAAUACGUUCCCGGGUCUU
rnacentral:rRNA from 1 species